rnacentral:rRNA from 1 species
GUGAACGCUGGCGGUAGGCCUAACACAUGCAAGUCGAACGGCAGCACAGUAAGAGCUUGCUCUUACGGGUGGCGAGUGGCGGACGGGUGAGGAAUACAUCGGAAUCUACUUUUUCGUGGGGGAUAACGUAGGGAAACUUACGCUAAUACCGCAUACGACCUACGGGUGAAAGCAGGGGAUCUUCGGACCUUGCGCGAUUGAAUGAGCCGAUGUCGGAUUAGCUAGUUGGCGGGGUAAAGGCCCACCAAGGCGACGAUCCGUAGCUGGUCUGAGAGGAUGAUCAGCCACACUGGAACUGAGACACGGUCCAGACUCCUACGGGAGGCAGCAGUGGGGAAUAUUGGACAAUGGGCGCAAGCCUGAUCCAGCCAUACCGCGUGGGUGAAGAAGGCCUUCGGGUUGUAAAGCCCUUUUGUUGGGAAAGAAAAGCGGCAGGUUAAUACCCCGCUGUUCUGACGGUACCCAAAGAAUAAGCACCGGCUAACUUCGUG